AUAGUUUUACAAGGAUUCUGUGUUUGAACAGUUUUUCAGUGCGACGAAUGAGAAUGCAGUCUACAAGUGAACGAGCGAUCACAACAACAACAAAGAUCAAUCUGUGAUAUCUUCUCUGUGAUGUCAUUCUUAUAGUAGCUGUGGUUCAAUGUUCAGAUGUGCAUGAAGAGAAUUUACCUGUAACACCUUGGAUUACCUGUGCCGU